UGGAAUACGCACGUAGACGCUGUGGUCGAUCUUUUCUCGGACCGGGGUUCGAAUCCCCGCGCCUCCAUCA
rnacentral:tmRNA from 1 species